ACAAGCGCUUAUAAAUUAUCAGCCAGGUCUUUGGGAAUAUCACUCUUUUUAUUUCACUCUGCUUUAAUUUAUUGUUCCUAAAUAGAGCACAAUUAUCAUUUACAGCCAGCUGCUCCUGAAACACACUAGAGAAAAAGGAUUUGUUUCUGAAGCUCUUUCUCGAUUGUUCUUUUCUUUUUUUUUCUCACAAACAGAAAUGUAUGUACUUUCCCUUUUUGGCCAAGGGACAGACCACUCCUGUGGACUCCAUUAGUCCCAAGACUGGUCCUCACAAGUUUCUGAUUUGAGAAGAAAAUUUGGUGGGUGCCAGGGACAUUUUUUUCCCAUUUGUUUCUCCUAGGAAGGUGCCUGGACACUGCAACACACCGUCCACCAGGCCUGGCCUAGCUCAACCCACUUAGAGGAAUUUCACGAAUGUGAGUAGGAGGAAUGAGAUGAUUUAAGUCUUUCUGGGCUGCUCCAGAAAGAUUCUUGGAAAAGGAUUAGUAGAUGUUUAUUGCAACUGGUAUUUGCCUGAGAAGAGCAAACAAAGCCGGUGUAAUAUUACUCCCCCAUUAUCUGCUGGGGCUUGCAGAAUAAGGGCCCAGUUGUGACGUGGUUCCUCCCCAGCUACCCAAUGCCUCUGUGGCAGGGGAGUGUCACAGUUCAUUGUGAACUCUCAAGUUUACAGGACAGCAUACCGUGUGCCUCAUAACUGACUUUAGUUUUAUGAGCUCAUUAGAUAAAAAAAAAAUAAGCAAAAAAGUAGUUAAUCCCUUCUCUGUAGACUAGCCUAAACUGUUACUUCUCUAGUUACUUAAUUUGCUAUUUUGUUAACUUGAUAAUUCAUCCUUCUUCUUCCGCCACAACACAGGUGGCUCCUGAACUGCCCUGGGAGCACAAGAGCUCAGCAGUGAGGCUGCUGGUGGACCCGCUUCAGAGAACCUCAAAGAAAACAGAACAAGCAAUGAAGAAAUGGCACAAGCACCAUUUUCACAACAAGACGAGAUUGUGCCAUGACGAAGAAUAGGCAGCUGGGGUCAAGAAAAAAGUGAAAUAUCCAAGUGCUACCUUGUCAUAUUGGGCACACUUGGUAGGAGUAAGUCCAGUAAGUGUAAGAAGCAGGGUGACUGGAAUCAAGGGAACUAAACUCUCAGUGGUUCAGUCACUAUCUUCAGAGUAAAUUAACUUGGUAACAUUUAUUGCCCUUGUGCAAAUUAACACUUUUUAGGCUCUGUGACUGGAUAGCAAAAGGAUGUUCUUUUGUAAGUCUAUUAUAAUUGUAUUUGCAUAAAACUUGAAAAUAAAACAUUUUUUCAGUCCA
rnacentral:lncRNA from 1 species